AACAUAAUAUAAUAUAUAACAACAUAACAUGACAUGACAUAUAAUAUGAUGGAUAGGAUAGGAUAGGAUAGGAUAGGAUAGGAUAGGAUAGAAUAGAAUAGAAUAGAAUAGAAUAGAAUAGAAUAGAAUAGAAUAGAAUAGAAUAGAAUAGAAUAGAAUAGAAUAGAAUAGAAUAGAAUAGAAUAGAAUAGAAUAGAAUAGAAUAGAAUAGAAUAGAAUGUGUUAAGGUGAAGAGAAACCCUGUAAGGAUGGUAUAAACUGGUGACCAGGAUUUUGCAGAACCUCAUCAGACAGGGUAGUCUCUUCAAAGCCAGAGAGCAAAAAUGGCUGCCCUCUCUGCCCCAGGCCAAGAACCAGACCAUCUUUAAAGUCUUGCAUUUUCUUGACGAUGUCUUCAGUGGUGCUUUUGCAGGCAAGUCUUUAUUCAUAUCCUAGUCAUAGGAAUUGUAUCUAAAUUUUAUGCUGCAUGGUAACUAUAUCACUGUGUGUGCUCUUUGAACCACUUGCAAAUUAGAUUCCUCUAGAUCAUUCACUGUGUGUGCUCUUUGAACUGCUUGCAAAUUAGAUUCCUCUAGAUCAUUAUUCCCAUAACUUGGAGCCAUAUACCAUGGCUAAAAGAAUAUUAAUAUUUUUAAACCCUUACUUUCCAUCUUAGAAUCAAUAUGGAAUAUUGGUUCCAAGACAAAAGAGUGGUAAAGGCUAGGCAAUGGGGGUUAAGUGACUUACCCAAGGUCACACAACUAGUAAGUGUCUGAGGACAGAUUUGAACCCAGGACAUCCCAUCUCUAGGUCUGACUAUCAAUCUUCUGAGCCACCUAGAUGGCCCCUAGAAUACUGGUCUUAAAGAGAUUCAGUUUUAGUAGCAAGGAAUAAUCUUGAGAUUAUCAAAAGCACAGUACACUUUCCAUUGUGGCUCCAAGAAGCUAUAGCAUGCAAAGCAGCCACACUCAGGUAAACCAUCACCUCAGUGGCUA
rnacentral:lncRNA from 1 species